GGACCGCAGGAUGAACAAUCAAUAGGCAGAAAGCAAGAUAGAGGCUUCCUCAGCUUUUGGAUCGACAAUCGACAGCUGAGAGACUAUUUUUUGCUAUGGUUGACUAAAUAUGGUCAGGGAAGAGAGAGGCACAAGAGAGCCUGUUUGCCUGGGAGUGCAUGUUUCAAAUGCUUAGCUGCCUAUAAAGCUGUAACAGUUUAGCCCGUGGCCACUGAGAGAAGAAUAUAAGUUAACCUCUGUAGUGACCAUGUGGAAGUCCUGACCUUGCCUGCAGACUUGACCUCUGGAUAUGACAAGGUGAGGUUCUAUGUUCACUGAUCCGGCCCCCUUGCUUCCUUCGGCUUAUGAAAAGAAGUGCUGAAUCAGCGAAUAGAAUGAAGGAACCAUCAAGAGGAGAUGGCUGCUGCUGCUGUGGCUCUCUAGGAUCUAGAAGCAAACUACAAAAUAAGAAGAAAUUCUCUCUGAAGACUAUGAAGAAACACUAGACUGAUUUUACCAAUUUCUGAAAUAAUACUCUGUAAAGACUCCACUGAUUCUAUGAAUCUCUUGCAAAAACAACCAGACCAGGACAAAGUUCAACAGAUAACUGGUUAGUGUUUAGAAGUAUCUAUGCCCACCAAGAACAAGGAGCCGUAAAUGGCACUAAUGCCAUGCUUCAGGUAAAUCUGCUACGGUUUAGUCUUUGACAGUCUCUGCAAAUGAUCUACCACGACUUUGUAUCAGUAAGCUGAAUGUUUCACUAACAAAUGGGAAAAUAAAACAUUUCAUGUUUUUACAGCUAACAACUUAGUAAAACCUACUCAGAGUACAUACUUCUUUAUGUACCCAUAUGAACAUACAAUGCUAUGGAAUGUAAAGAAGUAUGUAUUUUUGGUAGGCAAUAAACUGCCAGGAGGAACUACACUGCGGCUAAAAGAAGCCCUUGCUUCUUUCUAUGUGAAUGACCUUCAUAUGGUAAAUUAACCUGGUAUCAAAGAGAUGACCUUUGGCAAUACUAACACCAUAAAAAUGUAUCUACUACUUUUAGAUGGAAACGAAAUGUUGCAAAGAUUUCUACGUUGUGAAGAAAACAAAGUUUAACUAAGGAGAUUUAAAAUUAUCAUGAAACUCCUUUUAAAUCUUUUAAGUUCAAAAUACACUAUGCUUUACAUUUUUAAAUUUAGUACUCACAUGAUUAAAAUUUGGAUACAGAAAUCAGUAUUACUAGAACAAAAGAGGGAUAAACAUGACCUAUGUUCUCUCUCAUAAUAUGAUCUUAAUUAAAGUAUAUAUCAUAUUAGUAGGGUCAACUGGUUUGUUAAGAAUAACAAAAUAUAACAAAAACUGACAUCAUUACAUUUUAACAAUUUUCUUGAUACAUUGAUAAGUAUGUAGUCUACUGACAUUAGAGGAAUUUCUGAAGCAAGUUUUGUUGUUUUAAGCUUUUCUGAAAGCUACAUAGUCAUAAUUGGAAAAGACUAUCUUUUAAGUAACACUCUAUUCUCAAAAAAAAAGGUGGUGUUUGUUCUUAAAUUAAUCAGGUCCUUAACCCAGUCUUUGCUUUAAAUGCUGUCAGUAUGUAGAAUAAAUUAAAACCUAAGAUUUAUGCAUGAAAAAUGAUAAAAUUCUGGGCCAUAAUUGUAGGUUAACAGGGCACAUUGGUAACAGAUUGCCAAAUAAUUAAAAUAAAUUAUCAAUAUUAUCCUUGAAUCUGCUUUCUCCAAAGGGGAACAUAAAAUGAAAAUGCUAUAGUCAAGUAACCAAUUUACACAGACAGAAUAAUCAUCUUUCAGUGGUACUGUGCAACAGCAAUUCAAUAUUUACAAACAUGAUAGGGUCCACUAUUUGUCCUGUGUUGGAGGUAUCACAAUAUUUUUUUGUACCUUAUACAAAACUUAUUUUGUAUAAUAGACAUAUAUUAACAAAAUAAUAAAUAAUAAAGCUGCUCUCAAUACUUUAAUAAGCAGUACCUGCUUCAUGCUUCAACAGACUUGGAAAAAAAGAAAUACUAAUAUUCAUAUAUUCUAAUCAUUUCUUACUAAAAGUAUUAUUCCAACUGGAAUAUUCAGACAUGUAUAAAAAGCACAAUGAUAAAUGAAAAUUCUUAUGUGUCCCAAGUUGAACAGAAAUGGCUAUAAGGUUAACUACAGUUAUAACUGAAAAUAUGUAUGUCAAAAGUACAGGUUCCCUAUAAAACUAGACAAAGUGUAUUACUAUACUCGUGAUUUAUUUAACAUUAUAAAAUUAUUGAGCAUUAUAAAAUUAUAGAACAAUUUUAUCCAUUAUUCUGUAGGCAUGAAAGUUUUUUAUAAUUAUUUUAAAACAUCCUGGUGUCAAAGUCUUAUUGCUCUAAUAUUAAGAGUACAUAAUCCUCAGAAAAUAAAAUGACAGCAACUGCUAUUCAUUUUAAAAAAUAAGAUUAUAUACUGGUUUUAGUGCUUACAAGUUUAACUGAACAUAUCUGAGUCUUUUCAAUCAUUCUAAAAUGUCACAUCCAUUGCUUAGAUCAGCUGUUCAUUUUUAACUGAGUACAUAGUAAACUCUGGGCAUCUGCUGACACUGGUGUAACUCAAACAUUUCAACUGUCUCUCUGACAGGGAUAACAGAUGCUGACAUUAUCAAAUGCUGCACUAUUUUUUUUCCAUGGCCUCUCCUUGCCCCAAUAUGGCCAGUAUAUGAAACUGAACUGCCAUCCAAAAGCACACUUGAGCAACUGGAUCUGCUAAACAGCUCCCAUAUAACUAGUAAAAAUAGAAGCCAGUUUUAUUGCUAUCUUCAGCACUUAAGUCCAGGCAAUUUAACACCUGUUUCAUUUCUAUUAGAAUAAAUGGAAAGAAUUGUAGUUACAUGAGUUUCACCAGCAGCAUGACACUUACCAAUCAACAGAUGCAGAAUAUACUUAAUAUGAGAACUGUUUGAAUACUGCCUGAAAUAGUGUCAGCCUUUUUCCAGUUAAGUUCAAAAGAGUAACUGCUUCUUUAUAGGUGAAGUGAGUUACUUAUAAAAGUAAGUGAAAGCACUUACUUUAUAGGCAAACCAUAGUAUCUCAAAGUUUUAUUUUGCAAUUAUAUUUCAGAAGAUAUCCCUUCCCUGAUACUGAAAUGCAACACAAAUCAUAUUAUAACAAACACCUACUGUACUGACUUUUAAAAUAUUACUCAUGUAGUAGACUUUAAUACUCAAAUUUAUUGAUUAUAACUAUGCACUGCAAGUCCAUGUAUUAUUAAGCUGAUAAUGGAAGUAACUAGGCAAUCUGUACCCAAAACGAUGGAGAACUCAGUCAGGGAAAUAGACCUUGAAAAGGGUUAAAUUACUAACCUAUGAUUAGUAACACUACAUAAGCAAAAACAAAGAAAAAAUCUGGCAUGUAUCGUAGUUCCUUUCAACACAAGUCCAAGCAAUACACUGAACACACGUGUGAUCUAUUUAUAAACCAAAGGGCAGAGGUACUUUCUUAAGGCUGCUCAUUUUCCUCCACCCCCUCCCUGUCAGCAACUUGCUAUUACCCUCAAGUAUAAUUUUAAUUAAAGGAGCAGUGGAAGACGGGUUACCAGUACUCUUCCCUAACCUAUUAGCAUACUUCCUUGGUUCACUGCCUCAAAGAUAAAUACAAAAUAGUAUUCCGAAAUACAUCAAGGUCUGUUUGUUCCUUUAAAUGCUGUUGGUUUUAAAACAGGUUAUUGUCUACACUUAAGAAUUAUGCAAAGCUGUACACUGGUAAUUCCUUAAUGCAUCAACGAAAUGUUAAAGGGUAAAGACUUCUGCUCCACUCAAGUAGGAAAUAGUAGGAAAACUGCCUUCAAAAUAGAAAAGUUGACACAUAAUGACUGAAGUACUGAUACGAGAAUCUCUAACAUUUGUUGAAAGUCCAUAACCAUAGUUGUACAAAUAAAAAGCAUUUAAACUCUUUCGUAUCCCAAACUAGCAGCACUGCAAUGCUUUGCUAGAGCUGGUAAAAUGGAACCAAAUCGCCUCUUCAAUGGAUUUGGUCCCCUUCAACCAGCUGUAGCUAUGCAUUGAUUACUACAGGACAGCCAACGUUUUUCAUUUAUGAAUAUCAAUCACAUGUCGACUAGCUUCAGCUUAAAAUAAGUUAUUCAGACUGUGGUUUAAAUCAAAUAAUUUGUUACUGUUAAUUCUCCUUAGGAGAACCACAGGGGUUAACAAUGUUUAGAAAAAGUUUUAUGAAAAAUGUGUGGAUGACUUAUGAACUGCAAAUAAAAUAAUUUUACUUA